UACGGAGGAUGCAAGCGUUAUCCGGAAUGAUUGGGCGUAAAGCGUCCGCAGGUGGCGGUGUAAGUCUGCUGUUAAAGAGUGAGGCUCAACCUCAUAAAAGCAGUGGAAACUACACAGCUAGAGUGCGGUAGGGGCAGAGGGAAUUCCGGUGUAGGCGGUGAAAUGACGUAGAUAUCUGGAGGAACACCGGUGGCGAAGGCGGCAUCCUGGACCGGGCAUUGACGCUGAGA
rnacentral:rRNA from 1 species